CAUACUGGGUCCGAGGAACAAGAGGGGGAGCUAUUUCUUGCGUCUAGGUGGACGAUACGUACAAUCGGGGGCGAGUACUCUCUUCUUUAACAAGACUCGAACAAUAUUGCUAAACCAAAUGUGGGGUUCAAACCCACCUUGGUCGAGCGACAAGAAGCGUCAAGCAUGAUCGAUCUAAUAAACCUUUACGUACUUAGAUACAAAUGACAAAGGGGUGGAUUAUCACAAAGUCAAUCCCGUAGUCUCAGACUUGGAUGGAAAAAUGUAAUGAAAAAUGGUAGGUUUGAUUCUGUAAGGCUCCACAAAAUACCCUCAAUAAAGUACUUCCCCGCAAAUUUACACGUAGUUUGAAGUUAAAGGGUGGAUGGUCGAUCAGCAAGAAACGUCAAGUAGGAUCGACCUAGGAAAACUUUGCGUACUUAAAUACCUUCGACUAAGGGGUGGAUGAUCACGUAGUCAAUCCCGUCGUCUCAGACAUAGAUACAAAUAGGCAAUGAAAAACGAUGGGUUUGAUUCCACCAGGUCCCACAAAGACGCCCAAUAAAGUUAUUCCCAGCAAAUCAACACGUACCUAGAAGUUAAGGGCUACCGAUGUGAGGACUAUGCAUUUGGUCGGGGUAAAUUGUCAAGUAUCAUGUACGAGCAUGUUGAUCGCGAUUAAACGAAGUCCGUAUCGACAACCCCUUAUUGUAACCCCAGUAUUAAAGAUUUCACACUAUCUCAUUCCACGAGUACGUUAAGUUUGAAUUUGGUUGUAAAACUUAUACUUAACUUGGCGGUGAAUGGUAACAACUGGUAGUUCCUAUAUGUUUGGUCCCAUUUACUCAACAAGUACUUUGUACUAAUACGUAAACAAUAAUGUAAGUCUACAAAACCGGACGUAAUUUGAAAUCCCAGACACCGUAGUACGUUAAUGUAAGUAAAACGUCUCAAUACUUAGUUAAGAGUACGAAUAUAAAAGCGAUGUCGAGUACCGUAGUCUGAGCAGUCCUAGUUACAUGGUUCUUAGCUUACUUCUACUGAAUCUACGUAAACUACGCAUGGGUUGAUGACUUCGCCCAGGUUAUCUACUACUUAGGCUCAGACUGCCAACGCCUUUCCCUUUUUUUCCCCCCUUGUACACGCUAUUUGAGGUCCCCGUCGCACUUCUCCAAAUUCUUCGACUUACUACAAAACAGUCUCCUCUUUUUUUCCGAACAACUCCUCUACUUUAAUCCACCAGAUUACGUAGACGGCUUUUAAUGGUCCUGGUUAUCCGUGGUCGUUUACACCCAAGAGUCGUUCCAACUACUUUUUCGAAGUCGUUAUUAACACCUACCAUCUUCCCUGUGAGGUAAACUACUGUUUCUGCAACUCUCCCAAGAUCCACACGGGCCUCUCCCUCGUUGAUAUUUGUUAUUAGGUCGUGGGGUACAUAAUAGAAGUCAAUCCGUUUGUGAUCCCUAUUCGUCGUCACUUUGUUCCUAGAGUCACUAACUCCUUUAGCACUUCUUCCUUAUACAUCCCGUUACUGGUUCCGUCUUAGACUACGAAAGUUCCAACGGAUACAACAUACACGUCAAUGUAUACAAGAGCGCGGUGGCAACUUCGUGUUGAUGAAGGACUGUCUUAUGACCCCUCCAGACGUGUGGGGACUAGAGUAUGUGUACAUGUUGACCCCAUUCAUACAGGCCCUCCUUCACGAAGAUAGUCGACCCUCCCAGUUCAGUCUCGAGGAACCCCCGUUUCAAUUUAGUUUGUAGAGACCAACGUGAAAGAAGUAAGUCCACAAGAUAGACCUGUUAGAACUAGAACUCCUGCUCUUGGAUGGUGUGCUGCAGAAGGGUUCUAAGUUCCAGAUACUAGUCUUUUUCUAAUUGUACCAAUAACUUUUCCUGUGUUCGCGUCCUUUCUUGCGUCUAUAACAAUAUAUGCCUGAUGAAGACGGCUCCGACCGCGUGUGUCACACGAUAUCGUCCUUGUCUCGAAGUUACAGGAAGUAACCGUUCUAACGACUAUAGCCUCUGCCCAGUUCGUCUAUAGUUUCUCGUGGCUACUAGCUCCUCUAACAAUGAUAUGAACACCUUUUUCACCCGGUUAUAAGUAGAUCUACGGCUCGUCGCAACGUUCGCCGCAGAUUCUUUCCCCGGUUCUAUUUGUUUUUCGUGCGCCUACCCACCCUACCACAACACUCCCUCUGACUGUAAAAGUAACUUCUUCUCUGGAGAUUCUACGAGCGUCUAUAACUACUUUAUAGUCUUUGACAUUCCGUCUUGUUGUUUUCCGGUUCCCUUGUUCUGAUGGUUCCACUACUACAGAGUGGACUUCUCAGGCCUCUUCUCAGCGGUAAAAGUGGUGCAAGCCGGUAAACAGGACACUUAUGUCUAUUUGCCUUACAUCUACUACCAUUAGGAUAGGUAUCCAGUUUACUGUCAGUUGCCCCACCAAGGGGCUUUUCUCGUUCCCAGCUUCUCUGUCUCCUCCUAGGACUGGGCCGCUAAUUCUUAGACCUUCCUGACCAGCGCCGUCGUCUGGUUCUGUUACUUCAUUGUUUACUGUGACACCACGUACUUGUUUACGGUUAGGUCCGGUUUCGUCGUCUACCAUCCGUUACCCAUAUACCGGGAUUACGUCGCGAAUUGUGUCUCCAAGGGAGUAUACUGGAGCCUUAUCUGUUACGACCCGGUCAGGAUAGUGGCCCUUCCCUUAACAGUCAACACCGAUUUUGAGUUGUUGGCAAGGUGUAAGUCGUAGUGUGACGGGUCCGGCCAGGUUCGUCUAAGUUUUAUCUAAAGUGUCCAAAAUCCUCGUUUCUGGACUACCUACUAAAGUCAUCUCGCCACUGUGGUCUUCAACGUCCAUGCUCGAGGCACGGUAGUCGAUUGUGUUGUGGACAUAGUUGUAUACCCUUUUUACUUGAGGUUCCGAGUCCCGAACUGUAUUAUACGUGAGGAUACGUGUCCCGCUAUCUCGGCUUAUUCCGCCGCUCUUGUUGUGAACAAUCGGACUUGUCCCUCUAGCGCCGUGUUCUCAACCUGCAUGCACUCCUCUACCUCCUCCGUCGUUAGUUGGACUUGCAAGGUGUCUGUGUUCUACCGGAGUCAUGUGUCGGUGUUGCUUUUUCUUGUCAAUUCGGUCCGUUCCGACGUGCCAGGGGAAAACAAGACCCCAUGCUAGGAGGGGAUUCUCGUGGUCGAUUACAACUUUUCCAGAAGUUCUACAAAUACUUCCUCGGGCGUAGACGUUCCUUUCUGUUAACCCAAUAUUCGUGAGUCGGUUUUAUGUAGCUCGAGAGACGGCUCGCUUAGUCCUGCUUGGAAAGCCUUCCCCCACACUAUCUAUUACUAAACUACUGUUAUCGUCAAUCUUCUAUAGUCGUCUAACUGAUGUGAAAACGUAACCUAUUUCUACUUCCCACGACCGCUGUAACCGAGCUCGGUCUGAAACACUUGGUACACUCGUCUCCUCUGCACUAACACUCCAUACACGUCCUGUACAAAUAACCCCUUGUAUAGUUCAUACUGCACGUGUCUACGUGACUCAAGAAUGAGUUGCAGUUCAAGUUGAAGUGUACCAGCUGGAUGUAAACCCUAAAACAUUUCUCCUCCUAUUAGCAAGAACUGGGUUGUUAAUUGUUGCCUCUGCUCAGACUGUUUCAGUAGGUCUCAUCCGUGUCUUUCCAACGUCUGUUAGAAGUACUUCGUAACGUUUCCACGUAAGUUCGUAAAAAAGUUCCAACCCGAGGACUGUACUGCUCUACCUUAUGUCACAAGGGCUUUCCCUAUUUGCAACCAGAUACGUCGCCCGGUCUGUCGCCCCAUAUACGUGCCGUGAUACCUGCCUUAACCUACCCUUCGUUUAAGUUCUCCCUGGACUUGGGCGUUGUGCUGCCCCACGAGGUAAGGUCCUACUUGUAUGACCAUCUACACGAACCUGACCUCCCCUUGUAACCUGUGAACGGACUCUCUAUGUUCUUCACGGAACAAUCCUUGUUCCUCCUACGCACUACUAAUAACGAGAUCGUUUGAUAGACGCGAACAAACCAGCUCUUAGCUUCGACGUCAAACUUGAAAAUAUACAUACCCUGCAGGAUUAGACGUUCGAAAUACGAAAACCCGUCAGUUCUUUUGACUUAAAUCGCCUGACAUUCUAAAUCAUUUAAUUUCGAAAUUGGUAAACCACG
rnacentral:rRNA from 1 species